AUUACCAUAGCUCAGUGGUUAGAGCACUGUUCUUUGUAAACCAAAGGGGUCGUGGUUCAAAAUCCUCACUGGUAUUG